AACGAACGCUGGCGGCGUGCCUAACACAUACAAGUCGAGCGAGAAAGUUCCUUCGGGAACGAGUAAAGCGGCGCACGGGUGAGUAACACGUAGGUAACUUGCCCCUUAGUCUGGAUCAACUAGAGGAAGCUCUAGCUAAUGCCGGAUGAGACCACGGUCCCUUCGGGGACUGCGACCAGAGAUGGCCUCUACUUGUAAGCUAUCGCUGAGGGAUGGGCCUGCGGGCCAUUAGCUUGUUGGUGAGGUAACGGCUCACCAAGGCUGUGAUGGCUAGCUGGUCUGAGAGGAUGACCAGCCACACUGGGACUGAGACACGGCCCAGACUCCUACGGGAGGCAGCAGUGGGGAAUAUUGCGCAAUGGGCGAAAGCCUGACGCAGCGACGCCGCGUGGGUGAUGAAGGCCUUCGGGUCGUAAAGCCCUGUCGCAGGGGAAGAAUAAGCAUCGGGAUAAUACCCCGGUGCCCUGACGGUACCCUGCAAGAAAGCACCGGCUAACUCCGUGCCAGCCGCCGCCGUAA
rnacentral:rRNA from 1 species